GACGAACGCUGGCGGCGUGCUUAACACAUGCAAGUCGAACGAAGAGCGAUGGAAGCUUGCUUCUAUCAAUCUUAGUGGCGAACGGGUGAGUAACGCGUAAUCAACCUGCCCUUCAGAGGGGGACAACAGUUGGAAACGACUGCUAAUACCGCAUACGAUCUAAUCUCGGCAUCGAGGAUAGAUGAAAGGUGGCCUCUACAUGUAAGCUAUCACUGAAGGAGGGGAGUGCGUCUGAUUAGCUAGUUGGAGGGGUAACGGCCCACCAAGGCGAUGAUCAGUAGGCGGUCUGAGAGGAUGAACGGCCACAUUGGGACUGAGACACGGCCCAGACUCCUACGGUAGGCAGCAGUGGGGAAUCUUCCGCAAUGGACGAAAGUCUGACGGAGCAACGCCGCGUGAGUGAUGACGGCCUUCGGGUUGUAAAGCUCUGUUAAUCGGGACGAAAGGCCUUCUUGCGAAUAGUGAGAAGGAUUGACGGUACCGGAAUAGAAAGCCACGGCUAACUACGU
rnacentral:rRNA from 1 species